ensembl:lncRNA
CAGGAAGUCCAGCUUGGCAAGAUACGUCAGCUGGGCAGGGGAGAAGGAGGCACGUGGCACGGAGGGGACCAACGAUGCAAAGGCCAUGCAAGGGUUUGGGGAAGAGAACAGAUGGGAAGACAAAAAACAUGUGGCCCCAUAAACAUGAGCUGGCUUCUGCAAUCCCGCUAUUAAGGACACUGGAAACAUAGCUGAGAAUGCUCCAGCACUUCCACAACUGUCCUUGGUGUAGAAGACCUUUGGUGUAGAGUACCUUUGCCACCUCCUGGAUCCUUACAGACCCACACGUGUCUUGUGUUUGGAUUUUUUUAAUAGAUCUAAGCGUAAGAAUUAUGUUUGCAGAUUCCCAGGAGCUGAUAUGUCUAGAGGGAAGGGUCUCUGCAGAGUGGUUUCAAUGGAGGCACGCUGCCAGGAGUUGGGAGCUCCUUGUGAAUGACUGCGAUUUCCCUUCGGGCCCUCCUGUUUCUGCCAAAUUUGAAGUGGAUUUUCUGCAAGUGAGAAGCAAACAUGGCCCCUUUCCAACAGGACAAUGUCUGGGAGGGCGUCUGAUGAGAAAAACUUUGCGGAGGCCUUUCAAAGCAUCUUCAAAAAUCCCCUCCUGUAGGGGAUUUCUCGUAGUGAAGGAAGCCAUUAGCUAGGCACAGGAGGCAUUUACUUAGUUAUCUAAUCUUUCUAAUCCCCAAAUUACAUUAGAGGGAAUGACCCAUCUUUUACUAUUUCUAAAAUGACUCUGGUCCCUCAGUACAUUGUUGUGCACAGUGAAAAAAACACGUGGGCAGCAGGAUCUGCUUACUAUUUAAUCUAGCCUUCAAUUUUUGAUAAAAACACCUCUCCUUCUGCUUUUACUGCAUUACUUUUUAAAUGCAGUAAAUGCAUUUGUCGUCUUUCUUCCUGUUCAACACACUGAUAUUUGUAGGCAGCUAUUUUGUACUCCAGUUGUCACGUUCAGCCAAGUUACUCAUACAUCAAAUGCAUCCAACCUGAGCUCACGAGUCAGCUUUGAACCUUUAAAGAUUUCUGUUGUUCAUUUCUUAAUCUGUCUCCACUAGAUCUACGUUGUUUAAACACUGAAGUAUCCUGAAAUUAAUAUGAUAUAUCAAGCACGGUCCCUCCAGACUUUAGUAGAGGAGGAUUGCUGUCUGCCUGGUCUGUGCUGGGGACUUGGCUCUACAGAGCAGGAAAUACAAAGGGAAGGGACAAGGGGAAAUGGUUUCAAACUAAAAGAGGGAAGAUUUAGAGUGGAUGUAAGGAAAAAGGUUUUUACUAUAAGGGUGGUGAGGCACUGGCACAGGUUGACCAGAAAUAUAUAGGGGAUGUCUUUGGAGACUUCCAAGGUCAGGCUGGAUGGGGAUCUGAGCAACCUGUUCUAGCUGUAGUUGUCCCUGUUCAUUGCAGGGGGGUUGGACUGGAUAAGCUUUAAGGAUCCCUACCAACUCAAACGGUUGUACUGCUAUGAAAUACAGCUUCACUCUACAUGAAGGCCUGGAAGUUCUAGCGAACGGGGGUGGAUGCUGAAGGUCCUUUCACAGCUGACCCUGUGCCUGCGAGCAGUGUGCUGGGUGCUUCAGCCUGCUUCUGGGCGCUGACCAAGGCUGUAACUUGCUCCUUGUUUCAGCGCAGCUGGGAGUUAUUUCCCAAACACGGCUGACUACCAGUACAGAGAAUCUGCAGAGCUGUGGCUCAGUUCUUUAGAAAAAUCUCUUUUCUGCUGUCAGUGAGCCCAGUGGUUCCAGACAGAGAGCUGUGGACCUCUGAAUUGGUGAGUGGCUUCAAGGGGACAUGCAACUCUGAGAAGCGAGAGCAUUGACACCCGCUGACAACUGCACCACUGGAGUCUGGAGCUGAAGUGGAGAAGUUUGAGGGCUGCAGAUCACAAAGGGCUGAAAACAGCAGCUAUUGUUUAAUCUCCAUGAAGCAUUUUUCUUCGGUGCCUGGAAUCUUGGAAUAAAAGUAUUUUAGUUACCUUUCCCUAUAUAUAUUUGCCAGGAGCUUAAAUUUCCAGUGUUAGAUUUAUUAAUUUCCCAAAACCCCACACAUUAUUUCUCCACACUCACUGCUGCCUCUGCUCCAUCCAGACUCUAUGUCAUCUAGGAGUUCCACCAACCAAGCCUUGGGAAUGAAAUGAAUUCACCUCUUCCAGCCUGGGGCAUGCGGGGCUGCUCGUGUGCUGCCCAUAGACACACAGUUCACUUUACACUCAUGAGGAACCUCUCUUCACCCAGCAUCUCAGUGAUUUGCAGAGAAAAAAAAUUACAGGCAUGCUUUACGGAUGAAAAAGAUGAAGCCAUCUGAACAGCAGGCUCCCUGUCUGGAGCUAUUUGUUGCUUAAAUCUAAGAAUGAUACAUGGCAUUAUAAAUACCUCCAGUACUGUCAUUUUGGAGCACAUGCUAAGGGUGGAAUAAGGCCAGAAACCUCAUUCUCUUUCAGAACUUUCCUUCCAGUUAUAUCUUCACUCAUUUCUGAAGUUAUUUCUCUGCCUACUGACUUUGAGUAACACAGUGUGGGAUAGCCCUGUUCUUUCCUAGACCAUGUAAGAAAGCAUGUGGGAAAAUGUAUAAUUCCACAGCAUCUCAUUACGUGUCUAAAAACCUACUGGAUUCCCAUUCUCUCUGUUUCCGUUUGCCUCUAUAGCAAACAAACAAAGCUUUAACAUUUUGAUUGAUGAUGGCUAGGCCAAGUCUGAUGUAGUCAGCGAUCCUGUUGGUUGGACUCCACAACAUGGACCAGAAGCACGUCUCAAGACAGCAUUAACUAAAGUGAAUGUGGUUCUCUUCUCCGUUAGGUCUCAAAUCUCUGUGACCAAAACCAAAGCUGAAUGUAAAAAACUUCCAGAAACACUACUGGAAAUUACUGAUUAGCUGACUGGGAAGGGAGAAAGUACCACCACACCUCACCAAGCACUUAAUGACUUACUGUCCCCAGGAUUGUUUUGGGGGCAGGAGAACCUCUGGGCUAUUCUUAUCCUAUAAGAGCUUUUUAAAUAACCACUUCUUACUGUCAUUAAUUUUUAAAUACAUUGUUAUAUGGAUGCCCAUCAUCUCCUUUUAAUAGCUUUUCUUUUCAUAGCAGACAAGUAGUAUGCUCACAGCUUGCAUAUUGUAGAAUCACACAAUCACUACAGUUGGAAAAGAGCUCUCAGAUCACCCAGUCCAACCAUCAGCCCACCCCCACCAUGCCCACUGACCACGUUGCUCAGUGCCACAUCCACACGGUUCUGGAACACCUCCAGGGACGGUGACCGCACCACCUCCCUGGGCAACUAUGCCACUGCCUCACCGCUUUUUGUGAGGUGAAAUUCUUCCUAACACACAGCCUGAACCUCACCUGGUGCAACUUGAGGCCAUCACCUCGACCCUAUCACUGUUACCUGGGAGAAGAGGACGACGCCACCUCUCCACAACUUCCCUUCAGGCUGGUAAAGAGAGUGAUAAGGUCUGCCCUGAGCCUCCUCCAGACUGAACAACCCCAGUUCCCUCAGCUGCUCCCCAUAAGUCUUGUGCUCCAGACCCCUCACGGCUCCGCUGCCCUUCUCUGGACACACUCAACGUCUUUCUUGUAGUGAGGGGCACGCGGCAGUCUAGAUGUGGCCUCGAGAUGGAGACGGAAGCACCGCAUUACAGCGGGACGGCAAGGAGCGCAGACCUCACGGCGUUUACUAGGCGGCAGCCGACUGCAGUCCGCCCGUGAACGUUUCCGCGGGCGGCUGGACGCCCGCACGGCCACGGCCGGCUCCCAGGAAGCGGUUCCCGCUGGCCGUGUCCGCACAGUCCGGAAAAUCGGAGCUCCCGCGGCAGUACCCCGACCUCCCCAAGCUCCUCACCCACGACCCAAACCCGAG